rnacentral:rRNA from 1 species
GGGCGAUUAGUGGCGAACGGGUGAGUAACACGUGAGUAACCUGCCCCCGACUCUGGGAUAAGCCCGGGAAACUGGGUCUAAUACCGGAUAUUCUCUCUCCGCCGCAUGGCGGGGGGUGGAAAGCGGUUUAGCGGUCGGGGAUGGACUCGCGGCCUAUCAGCUUGUUGGCGGGGUAACGGCCCACCAAGGCGACGACGGGUAGCCGGCCUGAGAGGGUGACCGGCCACACUGGGACUGAGACACGGCCCAGACUCCUACGGGAGGCAGCAGUGGGGAAUAUUGCACAAUGGGCGAAAGCCUGAUGCAGCGACGCCGCGUGAGGGAUGACGGCCUUCGGGUUGUAAACCUCUUUCAGUAGGGAAGAAGCGAAAGUGACGGUACCUGCAGAAGAAGCGCCGGCUAACUACGUGCCAGCAGCCGCGGUAAUACGUAGGGCGCAAGCGUUAUCCGGAAUUAUUGGGCCGUAAAGAGCUCGUAGGCGGUUUG